CUGGUUCCAUAUGGUGGUUUAGA
rnacentral:miRNA from 17 species